UACGAAGGGGGCUAGCGUUGUUCGGAAUCACUGGGCGUAAAGGGCGCGUAGGCGGCUGUUCAAGUCGGGGGUGAAAUCCCGUGGCUCAACCACGGAAUGGCCUUCGAUACUGGACGGCUGGAGACCGGAAGAGGUGAGUGGAACUGCGAGUGUAGAGGUGAAAUUCGUAGAUAUUCGCAAGAACACCAGUGGCGAAGGCGGCUCACUGGCCCGGUACUGACGCUGAGGUGCGAAAGCGUGGGGAGCAAACAGG
rnacentral:rRNA from 1 species